rnacentral:rRNA from 1 species
UACGUAGGGGGCAAGUGUUGUCCGGAUUUAUUGGACGUAAAGAGCGUGUAGGCGGCCAUACAGGUCCGUUGUGAAAACUCGAGGCUCAACCUCGAGACGUCGAUGGAAACCGUAUGGCUAGAGUCCGGAAGAGGAGAGUGGAAUUCCUGGUGUAGCGGUGAAAUGCGCAGAUAUCAGGAGGAACACCAAUUGCGAAGGCAGCUCGCUGGGACGUUACUGACGCUGAGACGCGAAAGCGUGGGGAGCAAACAGG